rnacentral:rRNA from 1 species
AGUGAAGCGGCAAAAGCUCAAAUUUGAAAUCUGGCUCUUUCAGAGUCCGAGUUGUAAUUUGAAGAAGGUAUCUUUGGGUCUGGCUCUUGUCUAUGUUUCUUGGAACAGAACGUCACAGAGGGUGAGAAUCCCGUGCGAUGAGAUGAUCCAGGCCUAUGUAAAGUUCCUUCGAAGAGUCGAGUUGUUUGGGAAUGCAGCUCUAAGUGGGUGGUAAAUUCCAUCUAAAGCUAAAUAUUGGCGAGAGACCGAUAGCGAACAAGUACAGUGAUGGAAAGAUGAAAAGAACUUUGAAAAGAGAGUGAAAAAGUACGUGAAAUUGUUGAAAGGGAAGGGCUUGAGAUCAGACUUGGUAUUUUGUAUGUUACUUCUUCGGGGGUGGCCUCUACAGUUUAUCGGGCCAGCAUCAGUUUGGGCGGUAGGAGAAUUGCGUUGGAAUGUGGCACGGCUUCGGUUGUGUGUUAUAGCCUUCGUCGAUACUGCCAGCCUAGACUGAGGACUGCGGUUUAUACCUAGGAUGUUGGCAUAAUGAUCUUAAGUCGCCCGUCUUG